rnacentral:rRNA from 1 species
CGCCUCCUGCCCAUAUAAAAAUAUAGGAGGUCCCGCCUGCCCUGUGACCAAAAGUUUAACGGCCGCGGUAUUUUAACCGUGCAAAGGUAGCGCAAUCAAUUGUCUUUUAAAUGGAGACCUGUAUGAAUGGCAUAACGAGGGUUUAACUGUCUCUUUUUUCUGGUCAAUGAAACUGAUCUACCCGUGCAGAAGCGGGUAUACCCACACAAGACGAGAAGACCCUAUGGAGCUUUAGACGCCCACCAACCAUGAAGAGCACCCUGCCUAACAGGCCCCCAAACUACAUGGCCCUGGUAUAAACGUCUUCGGUUGGGGCGACCACGGGGGAAAGCAAAGCCCCCGAGAGGAUUGGGGGAAACCCUAAAACCAAGAGCCACAGCUCUAAGUCACAAAAUAUUUGACCGACAAUGAUCCGGCUUUUGCCGAUCAACGGACCAAGUUACCCUAGGGAUAACAGCGCAAUCCCCUCCCAGAGUCCAUAUCGACGAGGGGGUUUACGACCUCGAUGUUGGAUCAGG